rnacentral:misc_RNA from 1 species
CUCUUAUUCACUCUGCUCUGUCGCUCGUGCUCGUGUCUCGGUCGUCGUCAUCGUCGCUGAGCUCGCGAACUUUGCGUCGGCGCACGAAUUCCACAUUUCGCCUCUCCGUCACGCGCGCCGUGUGUCCCUCAGUCGUCCUUCUCCCGUUUCCUUGCGUGCUCUCCUCGGGAACCAUGUCUGCCCUCGGUGACUUGUCUAUCACCGUGCGGAAGAUUGCCGAGGAUGUGAAGAGCUUGAAGGCCGCCUACGAAGCCAAAAACGAUGACCAGUGCAACAAGCUUCUGGCGGACAUCAAGCGUCGCAUCAUCGUGUUCCCCACCUUCCUGAACCCUGGUGCCAGCAGCAACACCCGGAGCGAGGAGCUUUCACUUGCGCGCGACUACCUUGAGCUCGGCGUCCUGGCCUCGGCGCACCAAAAGGACCUUGCUUCCUUCGAGGUGUACUUUAACCAGCUGCAGCUGUACUACAGCGACAUCGGCUCCGAUGAGCUGCCAGAGUCGCCACAGUACCUCAUGCUGCUCGGGCUGAACCUCAUCCGACUCCUUGUGUGCAGCCGCAUUGCUGAGUUUCAUUCCGAGAUGGAAAAAAUCCCGUUUGCCGCGCAUGGCUCGAACCUGUACAUCCGCUUCGCCGUCGGGCUCGAGCGGUACCUGAUGGAAGGCAGUUACAACAAGCUCCUCACCUCACGGAAGAAGGUGCCGUCGAAUGAGUACCUGCCUGUCGUGGAGAUGCUGGAGCAGACGGUGCGCGACGAGGUCGCCAACUGCAUUCCUGAGUCGUACAGGCAGCUGUCCAUCCCGGCCGCGCAGCGGAUUCUCAUGGUGGACACGGAGGCGAAGGUGCGCGAGAUCGGCGCGGAGCGGGAGUGGGCGCUGUCCGCGGACGGCACGCACUUUGUUUUCACCCGCGAGGACGACACGCUGCAAAAGGAAAUCCCUUUCAAGGAGAUGAUUGAGCAGCACAUCCACUUUGUCGCCGACCUGCAGAACAUCGUGUGAGCAUCUCGCUGCCGUGCGUGUGCUGUGCGCAUCUCGAGGAUGUGCGCGAGCUUGAUGAGAAGGGGGUGGUGAGAAGACGGCGAGCUUCGCGCACGGAAGCAAUGGAAGUCAUCGGUGCGGUUCCUCUUCGGUUUGUAUUUCGCGCAUGCCCUUCCCCCUCCCUGUGUCGGCCCUGUCCUCCACGUCCUAGACGGCUUUUGAGGAGUGCGAGACGACGUGCACGCAGGGCAUUCUUCCCACUUCUCACGUCCCCCACACUCAGGCCACCUUAUAGCCGUGAAAACCUCGUCGAACCAGCCUGUGCUUUGUGUCUGCGUGUGUGCGGGUUUUCGCGAGGGAGUGUUGGCACGCGCGCACCGCUCUCCUUCCGCUGUCUCUUGGUCCACGGCUCCCACUCCCUUUUAUCUGCAGAUGUUUCAUUGUUGGCGUUGUCUGACAGGCCUGUGCACAAGCAACUGAAGGUACCGAAUCUUGAGCUGCGCCGGUGUUUGGGUGUAUGGAAUGUCUGUCACGGUGGUGACAGACAUUCCAUGUGUACUGCCUGGACAGGUGCGUGCAAGGGUGUACACCCUUGGUCGGCUGCAUUGCUCACACACACACACACAAGCAAAACGUGCCACGUUUGAAUCGAUGAGCCCACUUCAUGGCGCCCGAGAG